UGUUCCAAAUGAAACAUGAGCUUCUUCUUCUCUUCAUAGCACGAGCUAGUUCUUCCCUCUGUGGCUGCUACUUCUGCUUCUUCCGCCGUUGCCGCUGCUGAGCCGUUGCGUCACAUAAUAUCUCUCUGUCAUCCCUUGCGUCGCACGAGAUCCCUCCGUCGCCGCUCUCGUCGCAUCUACUCCCAUCGUCGCAGAGCUCUCUCUGCCGCCCCUCUCAUCGCAUCUGUUCCCUCUGACUCCUCUUCCAUCUAAGCUCAACCCGCUCUCUCAGUUCUUCUCGUAACCAUCUCAAAUUUCAGGAAUAUAUAUAUCCUGAUUUUGUGAUUCUGUUCUUCGUGAUAAAUCUUAGGGCUCAAUUUUUCUAUGCCAGUUUUAGGUUUUCUCUUAAGAAAGGUGGAAAGGAUGGUGAUGAUGGUACUGAAGAAGUGACUAUUUUAACGUUGGUAGAGAAGUCCAUGUUGUCCACGCUUCAAAGAGCUUCAUUGGUAGAGAAGUCCUGGCAGAAGCCACCGGAGAGGAUGAGGGUUUUAUCUAAUGCACUAAAAACCAGCAACUAUGGUUCUGAACCUAUACUUCAAAAUUGUGGAAUUUCUAUAAGCACCAGCUUUACUCAAGUGGAUGGUCAUGUUCUGCUUUCAACAAGGGAAUUUUUAGCUCUCCAAGCAAGUUCUCCAACCAAACAAGCUCAGCUUCACAUGAUAUACAUUUUCUUGUAUGCGACUAUAACAAAAUCAAAGUUUGAAGUGCUGUCGUCUGAGUCUCGGAAUAUUGCUCUGGAUCUUUGCUUGGUAAUAUCAGUAGCAGCAAUAUGACUAUGGUAGUUUCAACUGACCCUGCUCACUCCUUAAGUGACUCUUUUGCUCAGGUACCUAACGAGACCAAGAAAAAUCUCUUGAUUGUUUAGUUUAGUAGUUGUUCAAUAUGGAUAAAACUUCAGAAGUGUAAUGCUACAAUCUUGUUAGUAGUUCUUCAAUAUGGAUAAAACUUCACUGCAAUAAGUCUAUUUAUAAUCAUGCAUGAAUUUAAUAAGAAUCAUAUCCAAAGGUAAAACAAGCAAGGUUUGAGAUAAAUAAAUUUAGAGCUAUAGUAAUUCCAUCAUUCAAGUAUCUACUCUAUUAGUAUCUUAUGAGAAGGAAGUUGAGAGAGAAACUGCAAAAACUGCUGACAUGAAGGAGAAGGGUGCUGACCCUUAUGAUCUCAAGCAGCAGGUAUCUAAUUUCAAUUUAAGCUACAAAAAUAAGGGAAUUUGUAAAUUCUAAAUUCUAACUGCAUAAGCUCAUUUUUUCAGUUAUGUCUUUGUCUACAAUUCUUUUUGACUCAGUUGCAUAUAAGAGUCCUUUUAGUAGAGACAUGGAUUCAAAUAAGCAUUGCCAGUAAACUGUGAUAUCAUUCAAUUUUUCACUUAGCUUUCAAGAUUUUUUGUUGUCUACUUAUCAAGGAUGAAUUCAUAAAAUUUUCUUUCACACCUUGGUGUUGCUUUUAAAUGUUUAGGGCAUCAGCUUUAUUUAUUGGAGUUUAUGAACCUAUGAAGCAGAAACUGUUGAGGAUGUUUUCUGAAAACCUGAGUGCUUUUGCUCAUCUGAUGAUUCCAUGUUAUGUACUGUAAUCCGCAUGCAAAUCAGUAAGAAUAUCUAGUUUUUCACACAGACAAUUAAAGCUAUGGAGCCAUUUUUCACUGUUGUUCUUUCCUCCCUCUUCCUUGGUGAGUAGUUUCUUCUCUUGUACCGAUAGUAGGAGUAGCACUGGCAUCAAUGACUGAAGUCUCCUUCAAUUGGAUUAGCUUUGCUACUGCUAUGGCAUCUAACCUUACUAACCAGUCGCGGAACGUUUUGAGCAAAAAACUCAUGGUCAAUGAAGAGUUUGAAGAAUCGUUGGUGGAGCUGCUACAAAAUCUCGCAGACAUAUAUAUUACAUUCCAAGGUUGAAGAUUAACAAUCAGCACAAUGUUGAUGAGUAAGCACUUGUUGUGAAUUGAUGAGUAAGCACUUGUUGAUGAGUAACCAAUUGAGUAAUCAUAGAGCUUUGUAAACUGAGUGCACAUUCGUUGGCUGAAAAUGUAAUUGAUCAUUUUCCUUGUGCAAGUCCCUUUUGCACGGUCUUCACUGAACCAUGAUGAUGUAUUCAUCCUAGACUCACAGAAUAAGAUUUAUCAAUUCAAUGGAGCUAAUUCAAAUAUUCAGGAAAGAGCCAAGACUUUGGAAGUUAUCCAGUAUGUGAAGGAAAAGUAUCAUGAAGGGAAGUGUAAUGUUGCCAUUGUUGAUGAUGGAAAGUUGGACACUGAGUCAGACAGGUGAAUUUUGGGUUAUCUUUGGUGGUUUUGCUCCAGUUCGAAAGAAAGUAGUUAGUGAUGAUGAUAUCAUUCCUUAGACAACUCCUGCACAACUCUUUAGUCACGGGAUAGAUUGAAUGGGCUGAAUCAAGGAGGGCCAAGACAAAGAGCAGAAGCUUUGGCUGCUUUAAACUCUGCAUUUAAAUCAUCAUCCGGAACCAAAAGUUCUAGCCCUAAGACAACUGGAAGAAGUCAAGGAUCACAAAGAGCAGCAGCAGUAGCUGCUCUCUCUCAAGUUCUUACUACUGAGAAGAAGAAACAAUCACCUUAUUCUUCUCCUGUGGCAACCAGAAGUCCUGUUGUAGAAACUAGCACUUCCGGUGAGAAAUAUAGCUCUUAUUGUCCAAGUUAAAUGUGUCACAAAAGAAAGAUUAGCUAUUAUGAGAAGGUUAGAGCGUCAAGUAGUUCUAGUGCAGUUUCACUACCACCGCCGCCGCCGCCACCCUCAAUGUCUUCGGAUGAGGGCUAUGAUGAUGAUGAGGAUGAAGAUGACACUGAAGACUAUAGCUGAUAGUUUUAGUAUGGUUGAACAAUAUACUAGGAAUUAUAGUUGAUGAUCAAUACAUUUUGUUUAUGUUUUGAAUUAUAUUGACUUUGCUUGUUUAUAAUACUUUUCUUUUAGUUUGAUAAUACGAUGAAUUUG